AGGAAACGCCGAGCGGAGAGAUGGAGAGGCGGUGUGUGUGUUUGUGUAGCUGAAGUUAAUCAGUCCAUUGGUAUUUAGUUAACUACAUUUAGUAGCGCGGGUUUUAUUACAGAACUACAGCAAUAAUGGAGAGUUUCUAGAAGAGUCUGCCGGGGAAAGACGAACAGCGCUCACCUCCAGAGCGCGGCUUCUUCAUCACCAUGUCUGGAAACGUGGAUUUGAAGGAGAGGAGUGAGUCCAGCACACGCACAAAAGAGAGAAGACGAUCGAGGAGUAGAGGACGAGAUGAGAAGAAGCGAAAACGUAGCAGAAGCAGAUCAUCAUCUGCGAGUUCUUCUUCAUCUUCAUCCUCCUCCUCAUCGUCUUCACGGUCCUCUUCUAGCAGUGACUCAAGCAACAGUAGGAGUAGCUCCAGUAGCAACGAUUCUUACCAAAAGAAAAGAAAGGCCUCAAAGAAACGGAAAAAGGAGAGACCUGGCAAAAAGGUACUUUUUUCCCUUAUUCUGUUCUGGUCAACACCACCUAAUGCAACCAAGUAUUGCCUUCAGAAUUGUUAUAUAAUAGUAUUUCAAUUAAGUGUUUUUUUUUUUCGGUUGGUGAUGAAGCCUACAAAAUCUCCAGAUAGAUAG
rnacentral:lncRNA from 1 species